rnacentral:rRNA from 1 species
CAAAUCUUGACAUCCUUUGACCACUCUAGAGAUAGAGCUUUCCCCUUCGGGGGACAAAGUGACAGGUGGUGCAUGGUUGUCGUCAGCUCGUGUCGUGAGAUGUUGGGUUAAGUCCCGCAACGAGCGCAACCCUUAAGCUUAGUUGCCAUCAUUAAGUUGGGCACUCUAGGUUGACUGCCGGUGACAAACCGGAGGAAGGUGGGGAUGACGUCAAAUCAUCAUGCCCCUUAUGAUUUGGGCUACACACGUGCUACAAUGGACAAUACAAAGGGCAGCUAAACCGCGAGGUCACGCAAAUCCCAUAAAGUUGUUCUCAGUUCGGAUUGUAGUCUGCAACUCGACUACAUGAAGCUGGAAUCGCUAGUAAUCGUAGAUCAGCAUGCUACGGUGAAUACGUUCCC